rnacentral:misc_RNA from 1 species
GUAUGUGCACCACCGCGUGGGUCCCCCUUUGGCUUGUUCGGAGGGGGGCUUACGUUUUCACACAAACUUUGUAUGCAGUGUAGAAUGUAUUUUUUGUUUUUGCGAUCACGCAAUCAAUACAACUUUCAACAACGGAUCUCUUGGCUCUCGCAUCGAUGAAGAACGCAGCGAAAUGCGAUACGUAAUGUGAAUUGCAGAAUUCAGUGAAUCAUCGAAUCUUUGAACGCACCUUGCGCCCCUUGGCAUUCCGAGGGGCACACCCGUUUGAGUGUCGUGAAAUUCUCAAAAACCUUUUUCUUUUUGGGAAAGGGUUUUUGGACUUGGAGGCUUUUUGCUGGCUUCACCUUGAAGUGAGCUCCUCCUAAAUGAAUCAGUGGGGUCCGCUUUGCCGAUCCUUGACGUGAUAAGAUGUUUCUGCGUCUUUGGGUUUGGCACUGUCACCUGCUUCUAACUGUCUCAUUGACAAUGAUGGUGCUCCGGUCACCACCGCUCUUAUCGGUGGGAGGCUUGACCCACAAAAACAAAACCUUGACCUCAAAUCGGGUGAGACUACCCGCUGAACUUAAGCAUAU